rnacentral:misc_RNA from 1 species
AGUUAAACAGUACGUGAAAUUGUUGAAAGGGAAACGAUUGAAGUCAGUCAUACCAACGGGAAAUCAACCUUUUGAGCUUGGUCUUGUGGGUUUUGAAGAGUUUCAAAGCCUUCAGAUUCGCGGGAUUGGGAUCUCUUGGUGUACUUUUUCGUACGGUUAGUCAACAUCGGUUUUGAAUGUCAUAAAAUGACUGGAGGAAUGUAGCUUCGAUCUCGUAUUGAAGUGUUAUAGCCUUUGGUAGAUGUGAUGUUUGAGACCGAGGAUUGCAACGGAUACCCUUCAGGGCUAUUCGUCUGAUCUCUGAUACGUUGCCUUGAUGUUGAAAGCUUGCUUAUGAUGUUAGGGUAUUACGGUCAAAAGGUUAGAACGAAUUACAUUCGUUAAGGAUGUUGACGUAAUGACUUUAAA